UACAGAGGGGGCAAGCGUUGUUCGGAAUUACUGGGCGUAAAGGGCGCGUAGGCGGCCUGUUAAGUCGAACGUGAAAUCCCCGGGCUCAACCCGGGAACUGCGUCCGAUACUGGCAGGCUUGAAUUCGGGAGAGGGAUGCGGAAUUCCAGGUGUAGCGGUGAAAUGCGUAGAUAUCUGGAGGAACACCGGUGGCGGAAGGCGGGUCUCUGGGCCGUAACUGACGCUGAGGAGCGAAAGCAUGGGGAGCGAACAGG
rnacentral:rRNA from 1 species